UACAGAGGGGGCGAGCGUUGUUCGGAAUUACUGGGCGUAAAGGGCGCGUAGGCGGCCUUCUAAGUCGGACGUGAAAUCCCUCGGCUCAACUGAGGAACUGCGUCCGAUACUGGUUGGCUUGAAUUCGGGAGAGGGAUGCGGAAUUCCAGGUGUAGCGGUGAAAUGCGUAGAUAUCUGGAGGAACACCGGUGGCGAAGGCGGCAGCCUGGACCGAUAUUGACGCUGAUGCGCGAAAGCCAGGGGAGCAAACGGG
rnacentral:rRNA from 1 species